UACGAAGGGGGCGAGCGUUGUUCGGAAUCACUGGGCGUAAAGCGCACGCAGGCGGAUCGAUAAGUCGGGGGUGAAAGCCCGGGGCUCAACCUCGGAAUUCCCUUCGAUACUGUCGGUCUCGAGUCCGGGAGAGGUGAGUGGAAUUCCUAGUGUAGAGGUGAAAUUCGUAGAUAUUAGGAAGAACACCAGUGGCGAAGGCGGGUCACUGGCCCGGUACUGACGCUCAGGUGCGAAAGCGUGGGGAGCAAACAGG
rnacentral:rRNA from 1 species